rnacentral:rRNA from 1 species
AUUGAACGCUGGCGGCAUGCCUUACACAUGCAAGUCGAACGGCAGCACGGGUGCUUGCACCUGGUGGCGAGUGGCGAACGGGUGAGUAAUACAUCGGAACGUACCUUAUCGUGGGGGAUAACGCAGCGAAAGCUGUGCUAAUACCGCAUACGCCCUGAGGGGGAAAGCGGGGGAUCGCAAGACCUCGCGCGAUUAGAGCGGCCGAUGCCUGAUUAGCUUGUUGGUGGGGUAAAAGCCUACCAAGGCGACGAUCAGUAGCUGGUAUGAGAGGACGAUCAGCCACACUGGGACUGAGAUACGGCCCAGACUCCUACGGGAGGCAGCAGUGGGGAAUUUUGGACAAUGGGGGCAACCCUGAUCCAGCAAUGCCGCGUGAGUGAAGAAGGCCUUCGGGUUGUAAAGCUCUUUUGUCAGAGAAGAAACACCGGCUCUAACACAGUCCGGGAAUGACGGUACCUGAAGAAUAAGCACCGGCUAACUACGUGCCAGCCGCCGCAGUAA